AGUGAACGCUGGCGGUAUGCCUAACACAUGCAAGUCGAACGGCAGCACAUUAAAAUCUUGCUCUUACGGUUGGCGAGUGGCGGACGGGUAAGGAAUGCAUCAGAAUCUUCUUUUUCGUGGGGGAUAACUUAGGGCAACUUAUGCUAAUACCUCAUACGAUCUACGGGUGAAAUCAGGUGUUAUUCAUACCUUUCCCUAUUUAAUGGGUCGAUGUCGGAUUAGCUAGUUGGCUGGGUAAAGGCCCACAAAGGCGACGAUCCGUAGCUGGUCUGACAGGAUGAUCAGCAACACUGGACCUGAGAAACGCUCAAGACUCCACGGGGGGGAAGAAGUGGGGAAUAUUGGACAAUGGGCGAAAGCCUGAUCAAGAAAUACCGGGUGGGUAAAGAAGGCCUUCGGGUUGUAAAGUCCUUUUGUUGGGAAAGAAAAGCAGCAGGUUAAUAACCCGCUGUACUGACGGUACCCACAGAAUAAGCAACGGCUAACUUCGUG
rnacentral:rRNA from 1 species